UACGUAGGCAGCGAGCGUUGUUCGGAGUUACUGGGCGUAAAGAGUGCGUAGGCGGUUUUCUAAGUUUGGUGUGAAAUCUCCCGGCUUAACUGGGAGGGUGCGUCGAAGACUGGAAGGCUUGAGUAUGGGAGAGGUAAGCGGAAUUCCUGGUGUAGCGGUGAAAUGCGUAGAUAUCAGGAGGAACACCUGCGGUGUAGACGGCUUACUGGACCAUAACUGACGCUGAGGCACGAAAGCGUGGGUAGCAAACAGG
rnacentral:rRNA from 1 species